rnacentral:lncRNA from 1 species
CGGGGGUUGCCGUGUUUGAGGAAGCGGGGGUCCGGGUUCUCGAGCUGGCGGAGCUUGGACUUGAUGGCCUCGGCAGCGCGGUCGUAGAUCAUGGCGGUGGGGGGCGGAGGUGCGGGAGGGGAGGCGGCGGAGGGGGCGAGAGCGGGGGAGGCGGAGAGAGAUCGGAAGGAGGAGAGUGCGGAGGCCCGCCGGUCGGAGCGGCGGGCCGCGGAGAGCAGGCGGUUGAGGGACAUGGAUCCGCGCUGGUAUCUAGGGUUUCACCGUGAGAAAAGAGUGGCCAACGAAUGAAAGAGUCUGAGAAAGAGAAAUAGAAGUAAGGUGUUGAACAAGUAUUCUAGUAUGUGAGAGAAUUGGGGACAUCUGUCAUUUGGCACUAGAGAGAGGAAAGCUAAAUAUGUUUUUCGCAUGGUUGUUUUGUUUUGUUUUACUUUUUUGUUAUCGGAUUUUUUUUAUAAUUUUAAUAAGUAUUGUAUAUUAAUUAAUAUGAAUAUAAAAUAGUUUAUAUUUUUUUAUGUACAGUUAAUAUAUUAAUUUUUAC